rnacentral:rRNA from 1 species
GACGAACGCUGGCGGCGUGCUUAACACAUGCAAGUCGAACGGACAGGCCCUGCUUUUGUUGCGUGCUCGAGUGGCGAACGGGUGAGUAACCCGUGAGUAACCUGCCCUUGACUUUUGGAUAACUUCAGGAAACUGGGGCUAAUACCCGAUAGGAGCUCCUGCUGCAUGGUGUGGGUUGGAAAGUUUCGGCGUUUGGGGAUGGACUGCCGGCUUAUCAGCUUGUUGGUGGGGUAGUGGCUUACCAAGGCUUUGACGGGUAGCCGGCCUGAGAGGGUGACCGGGGACAUUGGGACUGAGAUAGGGCGCAGACGGCUACGGGCGGCAGCAGUGGGGAGUAUGGCACAAUGGGGGGAAGUGUGAUGCAGCAACGCCGGGUGCGGGAUGACGGCCUACGGGUGGUAAACAGCUUUCGCAUGUGACGAAGAGGGAGUGACGGUAACGGGUAAAGAAGCACCGGCUAACUACGUG